UACGAAGGGGGCUAGCGUUGCUCGGAAUUACUGGGCGUAAAGCGCACGUAGGCGGCUUUCUAAGUCGGGGGUGAAAUCCUGGAGCUUAACUCCAGAACUGCCUUCGAUACUGGAGAGCUCGAGUCCGGAAGAGGCGAGUGGAAUUCCUGGUGUAGCGGUGAAAUGCGCAGAUAUCAGGAGGAACACCGGUGGCGAAGGCGGGUCUCUGGGCCGAUGACUGACGCUGAGGAGCGAAAGCGUGGGGAGC
rnacentral:rRNA from 1 species